CUCAUGAUAUAAUCACGCUCCAUAUCAUUACUAAAAUUUGCUUGAGCAAAGCCUAGAGCAUUGUACAGUGCUCGGGUAGCAGCAAGCCUGACAUCAUUGUUUGCUUCAGAUGCAUUCAUUCCUUGAACUACAGCAGUAAGAAUUUUAUUUACUUGAUCUUGAUCCACAACAUCAGGAGAGAUUUCCUCACAUAAAUAUCCAAGAGUCUCUA
rnacentral:misc_RNA from 1 species